GUGGGGAAUCUUGCGCAAUGGGCGAAAGCCUGACGCAGCCAUGCCGCGUGGAUGAUGAAGGUCUUAGGAUUGUAAAAUCCUUUCACCGGUGAAGAUAAUGACUGUAGCCGGAGAAGAAGCCCCGGCUAACUUCGUGCCAGCAGCCGCGGUAAUACGAAGGGGGCUAGCGUUGCUCGGAUUUACUGGGCGUAAAGGGCGCGUAGGCGGACAUUUAAGUCAGGGGUGAAAUCCCGGGGCUCAACCUCGGAACUGCCUUUGAUACUGGGUGUCUUGAGUAUGAGAGAGGUGUGUGGAACUCCGAGUGUAGAGGUGAAAUUCGUAGAUAUUCGGAAGAACACCAGUGGCGAAGGCGGCUCACUGGCUCGAUACUGACGCUGAGGUGCGAAAGCGUGGGGAGCAAACAGGAUUAGAAACCCUAGUAGUCC
rnacentral:rRNA from 1 species